rnacentral:rRNA from 1 species
GAUGAACGCUGGCGGCGUGCCUAAUACAUGCAAGUCGAGCGAAUGGAUUAAGAGCUUGCUCUUAUGAAGUUAGCGGCGGACGGGUGAGUAACACGUGGGUAACCUGCCCAUAAGACUGGGAUAACUCCGGGAAACCGGGGCUAAUACCGGAUAACAUUUUGAACCGCAUGGUUCGAAAUUGAAAGGCUGCUUCGGCUGUCACUUAUGGAUGAACCCGCGUCGCAUUAGCUAGUUGGUGAGGUAACGGCUCACCAAGGCAACGAUGCGUAGCCGACCUGAGAGGGUGAUCGGCCACACUGGGACUGAGACACGGCCCAGACUCCUACGGGAGGCAGCAGUAGGGAAUCUUCCGCAAUGGACGAAAGUCUGACGGAGCAACGCCGCGUGAGUGAUGAAGGCUUUCGGGUCGUAAAACUCUGUUGUUAGGGAAGAACAAGUGCUAGUUGAAUAAGCUGGCACCUUGACGGUACCUAACCAGAAAGCCACGGCUAACUACGUGCCAGCCGCCGCCGUAA